UGGGGAAUAUUGCGCAAUGGGGGAAACCCUGACGCAGCAACGCCGCGUGAAUGAAGAAGGCCUUAGGGUUGUAAAGUUCUGUCUUCUGGGAAGAUAAUGACGGUACCAGAGGAGGAAGCCACGGCUAACUACGUGCCAGCAGCCGCGGUAAUACGUAGGUGGCAAGCGUUGUCCGGAUUUACUGGGCGUAAAGGAUGCGUAGGCGGAUAUUUAAGUCAGAUGUGAAAUACCCGAGCUCAACUUGGGUGCUGCAUUUGAAACUGGAUAUCUAGAGUGUCGGAGAGGAAAGCGGAAUUCCUAGUGUAGCGGUGAAAUGCGUAGAGAUUAGGAAGAACACCAGUGGCGAAGGCGGCUUUCUGGACGAUAACUGACGCUGAGGCAUGAAAGCGUGGGGAGCAAACA
rnacentral:rRNA from 1 species